AAGGAUUUAAGUUAAUUUAAACUCGUAGCCUUCAAAGCUCCAAAUAAAGAUUCUUG
rnacentral:tRNA from 1 species